AUUGGGCAUUGAGUGGACAAAGUCAAUGCUUUGCCUCUGCUAUCCACUAAGAAAAGGAAGAUCUCUCACCACACACAGAACUGACUGAGGUGCUUUCCUCUGCAGGAAGGAGGAACUGAGGACUAAGCUAUGACUGUGAGGCUGACCGUUCUCUGGCCAGCUCCUGGGGGAGCACUCCUACAUGUUGUCUGUCUGUUAAAAUUCUGAGCAAUUCUCUAACCUGUUCUUAAAAGGCAUGUGAAAAGCUGUUAUGAGCAGUCACAGAACAGAAACAAAAUGAAAAAGUUUCAGAAACUGACCAUCUCAAAAUAGGGUAGUGAUAGUCAGAAAGCAAUAUAGCUGCCUAGCAAGUUAGUCUAUGCCCAGAACUAUUUAAUUUGAAUUGCAACUCAAAUCUUGCCACUGAUCUUAGUGAGAAGAAGUUUAAGUUAUUGGCUGUCUUGUAACCACUAGCCCACUAAACUUCAGAUAAACUUAAAAUACUUCCACCAGAUAAGUAUAACUGGCGUUUGAAGGCCACAUAGAAAGUCAUUACUGAAAGGUGCUAACUUUUCUGAUAAUAAAUUAGUUUUCUGACUCCUUGAACACUAUGUCAGCCCAGACAGUAGAUUGUUUUAUAGCACAGGUCUGGCGUGCUGUUUGCUUACUGAUGUUAUGAAUGUCUGUGAUUUUAUUUAGGGUUUAGGUUAUCACCAGAUGUUGAGAUUGUACAGGGAAAAAAAUCUUGAAAUGUCCUAGCCUGAUCUACUCAACUGUUCAUCCAGCAGCUCACAUGAAGUGGAAGGUUAACAAAUUUCUGAUAUCAAAGCCAGCUGUUCAGAACAACACGGGGUAAUAGCCAUCCUUGUCAAAUGCGCCAAUUAAUUCACCAGACUGUCAAUGUUGGUAUAAUUGAUAGACUCCACAAUCUGGCUGAGUAAUGAAAGUGGAAAGCAUUACUAAGACCAUUUCACCUCCUAAGAGAUCUUGUAAUGUAACCUGAGCUGUCAGCACUGCUAUGAGGGACUCUUUAAAAACAACAUUUUUCUCCAAUGUUCACCAGGCUAACUUCUUGCAGGCAGCUGUUUCACAGAAUCACAGAAUGGUUGAGGUUGGAAGGGACCUCUGGAGAUCAUCUAGUCCAACCCCCCUGCUCAAGCAGGGUCACCUGGAGGACAUUGACAGGAUCGCGUCCAGGCGAGUUUUGAAUAUCUCCAGAGAAGGAGACUCCACAACCUCUCUGGGCAACCUGUUCCAGUGCUCUGUCACCCUCACAGUGAAGAAGUUUUUCCUCAUGUUCACAUGGAAUUGUCUGUGUUUCAGUUUGUGCCCGUUGCCUCUUGUCCUUGUAAUGGCACUUUUGACAUAAACAAUAGAGCUUCCUUGCAAAGUGGGGGAACUGAGAAGUAGUGGUUUGAUAGGAAAUGAAGAGUAGGGCUGGAAUAAAUGUUUGCCAGAGGACA
rnacentral:lncRNA from 1 species